GAAGCGCAUUCGGGAUUUCCGUGUUUACGUUAUGAAACCGUGUGCAGGCUCUAAAAUGUUGACGGCGGCGACUCGAAGUCGUUUUACGCGAGAGCAAACAAGAAUAUUAUUGCGUGAAGUCCAUGCACGGCGAUAUUCUAUUUAUGGUACACCGACAAAACCGUUCAGAGUUUCCAAUGCUCGGUCAGCCUGGGAGCAAGUAGCAGAGCGAGUGAGCGCCACUACCGUUGGGCUUCAGAAAACAGCCAACCAGUGCAGGAAGCGAAUUAAUGAUCUUAAACGGAGACAAGGAAUAAGAAUAUUUGAAAACAGAUUGCCAAAACCAGUCUCUAACCUUACAGACAACAACUCUAUUUCCUCAAUUAAAAUUGAGCAUGCAGAGCAUCAAAUUGGAGAUGGCCUUGAUAUCAAAGCAGAGACAGCUGGUCCAUCCCAGGCUGGAACACCACAACAUCUUCCCCAACCUGAUCCAACCCAGGCCUCUUCAUUCCAAGCCCCUCAGGUCAGCUCACCGCAGAUGAACCAAUCUCAGGGACUGGGUCAGGGACAGCUCCUCAGAGCUCACAUCCCGCUGAUAAACUUCCAGCCCCUUAUCCACGUCCAGCCCGCUUCCCAGGAUUUCACAGUCCUCUGCCAGGUGCACCAGGCGGGCUACGCCAUGCUACACAAGGAGAUCAUGGACACUAAAAACCGUAUGGAGGAAAUGCUGCAUCCUGUGUUGUCCUCCAUCAGCCACAGCCUGGAGAGACUUGCUAGUGCUGUUGAAAGGCUGUCCGAUCCUAGGGAGUCACCACUACAGACUGUCACUCCCAUCACAAUGCCUCUCCAACACAGACUGAAUGGACCGUCAUACACUGAUUCCACAGGAGUACAUCCUUUGUGAUGUUUGCUGGUUUCUUGCAAUGUUGACGACUGUUUACUUCUGUUUUAACAAUACAAUUUCCUACAAGUAUUUCAAGAAAAAAAAUAUAAAAAAUCAUUAACCAAAAAAUAUGAACUAUGGUAUGCUAUCGAAUGUAUGGUGUGUUCGUUGUUGCAUGUAUUUAUUAGAAUGCUUUCAUAAGAGUGAUUAAAUGUAGUCUAUAUAAUUCAAUCAAACCUGCUGUAUUCACACAGUAGCGUUUUCCAAAUGCAUUGACUGGUUUUACUGUAGCCUAUAAAAACCUACAAUUAUUUAGCCUACUAGACAGUAGACCCCUCAAAGGGAGACUUUGCUUUCACUUUUCAGAAGGAGAAGUGUAUGUGUGUGGGGUAAAGUUUGUAAAUCUGUAGAGAAUUGCUUAUGGUUUUGGAAGGCAAUGUGCAGACCAUGAUUUAAUGAUGAAAUCUUUCAAUCUGUUUCUAAAUGUUUUUUGGGGAAUAAAUAUGCUGUGAACCACAGUAUCAUAAAUGUAA